GCCUGCAUUAAGUAAAGUCUUUAAAACAAAAACAAAACAAAACAAAAGGUUAGCAUCUUGAAGAGUAGGAGGAGCUGAAUAAAAGCUUAAGUAUUACAUGGAUUUCUGUACCACAUUACAACCUACCACAAAUUUAGUGACUUAAAACCACAUACAUUAUCUCAUAGUCUUCAGGUCGGGAGUCUGGACACGGCUUAACUAGACCCUCUGCUCUGGAUCCCAAGGCUGCAAUCAAAGUUCAGCCAGGCUGUGUGCUCAACUGCAGGCUAACCUGGGGAAGAACAAGCUUCCAAAGCUCAUUCACGUUGUUAAUAGAAGUUAUGUCUGUAGAGCUAAGAAAGGAUGGCUUCCGUUUGUUUGUUGGGCAGUUUGGCUGGAGUCUGCCCUCAGCAACUAGUGGUCGACCUACUUCCUUGCCUCAUGGAUCCUGCAGUAUGCUCACUUUACUUCAUCAGAACAGAAGGGGAAUCUGUAACCCAAGUCAGUCGGCUAGGCUCAGUCUUAAUAUAAAGUAAUAUGAUCACGGAGUGGCAUCCGUUACUUUGCCAUACUUUUUUGGCUAAAAGCAAGUUGGAGCCUGCCUACAUGUAGGAGGGAAGUGCACAAAGGUAUGAAUGGGAGGUGGAGCUUUUGGGAUGCCCACAUACUUUUACUCUCUUGAACCUUAUUUCUUAAUCUGUCAGAUGUUCUCAAAAUAGGAUGGGAAGUGGGGACAGUACAGUCAGAAGGGAGUAGUAAAUUUAGUAAUAAAUAUUUAUGUCAAAGUGUUAAAUCCUACCUUCUUUAAUUAAUUCCAGGAUGGGAUCUUUGCAGAAAGACAACAGAAUAGAUCAGAGUUAACAGUCACUUUGGUCAAUAAUAAAUACAACAGUAGGAAGCUCACCAUCCACAAUUUGGACACAUACGUCAGAAAUGUGAAUCUUCAGGCCAAUUAUCUGAACUUCAUAUCCCCUUCAUUGUCUCUGGUAUUACAAAGGCACCUCAAACCCAACAUACUCAAAAAAAAACUGUGUCCCUCCCUUUCCUAAAUCUGAUCCUCUUGUAUGCUUAUCCCUGCUGAAUGGCACCAUCCUCUUGCCUGAUUGUGCAAAUGAAAUUUCAGACUCAUCCUUAGUACCUAACUCUCAAUUUUGACUUUAAUACCUAGAAAGUUCUCAUUUUUGCCCAUUUCCUUCCAUUUUGCUGUUAUUCAGUUCUUAGCUCUUUUCAGGUGCUUGCUCUAAUCAAGUUUGGACAUGAGCACUUCUUUCAUCUAAGUUUAGUUAUAUUUGUUUUUGUCUUUAAUUUUAUUUAUUUCUUUAUUUGACAGCACGAGCAGGGGGAGUGGCAGUCAGAGGGAGAGGGAGAAGCAGGCUCCUCACUGGGCAGAGAGCCUGAUGCAGGGCUGGAUCCCAGGACUCUGGGAUCAUGAACUGAGCCAAAGGCAGAUGCUCAACAAACUGUGUCACUCAGGAGCCCAGUUUAGUCAUAUUUGAAGGUUAUUCCAGUAUACUGCUAUUUCAGUGAUGGAUUUCUCCUAUUGAAGAACUUUCUUCCAGUUUAAUAAUCUUAAGUCAUAGUAAUUACCAGUAUUCAAUGGAAAAAUGUUAUUGAGUUUAUGAAUUUAUAAUAUUUAAGGUAACUUGGGUUAUAAGUAAUAGAAAAUUCAGAAAAGUAAGACUGGAAGAAUUGGAGACAACAGACAUAGAAAACUCUUGAGAUGUGUUGACACAAUGGGCAGUAGAGAAACAGGUCAUAGCAAGACCCGGUAUGGGGUCAAGUGAGAGAGAUUCUAAAACAGAAAAUACUAAAGGCUGUAAACUAACAGGAAUAAUCAACCAGAGAACUGUAGGCUGACAGUUGCUAAAGUGAUGUCCUUGAAUGAGAGUGGGGACAGAAUUUAAAGCACAAGAGGAGGGGGUGGUCUUACAGUGGAGUGUGGACAAUAGUAACAAGAGGAGAGGUGGACAGUGGGAAGUAAAAAAAGAAAUUGGUAUGUGGUGGUGGGAAUGUGUAGAAGUUCUCUUCUGAUUGCUUCUGUUUCCUCAAGUAAGAACCAAGAAAUCAGUGAAAGAGCUGUGGAGGAGGUUUGAGGAAAGUGGAGAAAGUGGGGAAGGAGAUGUCUUAGGGUGGAGUCUGGGAAACUAUAUGGACCAGGAACGUAUAGUUCUGAGCAUCAUUUUCAAACACACCAGUGCACAGAAGAGUAAGACUAUCUUGUGUCUUUUAAGAGCCUGAAAACCUUUCCUUUGAACCUGCCAGCCAAUUUCCUGUAAAAGUUAACAUCAGGCUGGGGGCUCACAGAUUUAAGCCUACCUGGGAAGGUGACCCUGGAUCUGCCUUCUUAUGGCACUAGUUCCUUGGCACCUGCCAAGUUAAGCUAGAGAAUGCUUGUGCUGGUAGCUCUCUGCCUUGUUUGCCAUGAAAUCCUGGUCUCCAGAGCUGCACCUGCACAGGGAGAGCUAUGAGUCGGCACCCAGAGAGACACCAGUGAGAAAGCGGUCGAACGAACCUCUGUACCUUGAUCUUCCUUAGCAGCUGCGUAGGACCCAGGGUGGGGUGGGGUGGGUGACGGGGGCAAGAAGCUGGAUAGUCCCUGAGCCUCCUGAUGGCAUGAAGGUACCGUGCAGGUAGUAUUCCUGUCUGUAUCCCUCUGGAAAGUUAAAAAUGAAGCAUUAGAAUAAAGUCUACUGUAUCUUAUGAUACAGUCAAAACCUCUUACAAUGGCUGAUGUGGGGCAGUGGCAUUUGAAGCAGGAUUGGUAUUCAGAUCCUUAACUCAAUUUGCAUCUUCUGGUCUCAUGGCCAGCAAUGGCUGGCAGACCAACCAGCAUCAAAGGAAAUAGCCCCCCGAGACUGCCUCAACUAAUCACAGUUCACUCCUGGGGUGUGGUGAGCAAUGGGGCAGCACCUCUCAGGGCACACAGCUUUGUGGGGCUGGGGUUACUCAGAUAAAAUUAAAGUCAUGUCAAGAAGAAGGAAAGCUACAGGCUGGGGGCUGGCGUAAAGAGGAUAUUGGGUAAGCAAUCAUUUAUAUCUGCUGUAUGUAUAUAAGGCAAAUGCACAGGAUAAAAUAGAACCUUCUCUCAGGUUUCUAUAGCUGUUUGCUGAGACAGAGGGCUUGGUAUCAGAAAGUCCUACUUAAAAGUUAACUAUUAAAAAAAAAAAAGUUAACUAUUUCAUUUUAGACAUGAAUUAUAUCAUAGACCAGAUAUGUAAGCAACCAAGCACUAAAUCCAACUUCUCAAUUUUCUAAUUUUCAUACUUACAUGAAAUUCAGAUUUUACGGUUUUAAAGAUACUUCAAUAAUACUUUGCUAAGUCCCAUCAAAUAAUCUUCAUUUCAUUGCAAUUUCAUAUUUUUUUUGUGAUGGCCAAACAUGUGUAAAGCACUGUAAAAUCACCAGUGUCUGAAGAUAGUAAAAAACUCAUUACAUUGGCAUCUUCCAGAACAACUUCCUUUUUAUUCACUGGUUCUGUCUUAACAAGCAUUUGUUCACCUGCAGACUGAACUCAUUAGAAACAUGGUGUUCCCCAGCUGGUGAGCACUGAUGUUAAAUUACUCUCCCACUCACCCUAUACAUUUAAUAUAGAUGAGCAAAUGGUCUGAUACUUGUAGUAGGAACCCUUGCUCCUACACUUUUUAAUUUCAAUGUAUUUUAUUUUAUUUUUUAAGAUUUUAUUUAUUUAUUCGUGAGAGACAUAGAGAGGCAGAGACACAGGCAGAGGGAGAAGCAGGCUCCGUGCAGGGAGCCGGAUGUGGGACUCCAUCCCGGGUCUCCAGGAUCACGCCCUGGGCUGAAGGUGGCGCUAAACCACUGGGCCACCGGGGCUGCCCAACUUCAAUGCAUUUUAAUCAGCCCAGGGCACGGUAACAGAAUACCAAAGGCUAAAUGGCUUAAGAAAUAGAAAUGAAUUUCUCAUUUCUGGAAACGGGAAAUUGAAGAUGAAGGUGUGAGAGAGGUAGGUUUCCUUGUGAGGCCUCCUCUUGGCUUGUAGGAAGCUGCCAUCUUGCUGUGUGCUCAUAGUGACCUCUUCUGCACAUGGGAAGAGAGAGAAGCUCACUGGUGUCUCUUCUUUUAAGGGCACUCAUCCCAUCUUUGGGUCCACUGUCGUGAUGCAUCCAACCCUAGUUACCCCCCAGAGUCUAGUUUCUGGAGACUGCCUGAAUUUGAGUCUGGACUCUGUCAUUUGCCAACUGUGUGGCCAUGGACUUUAGUACAUUGGACUAGAGGUUGUACCCCUGACCAAAAUGGGCCAAAUUCUCCAGCUAGGAAGCUGCAUUUGUCUUCUUUCUCAGCUUCUCAAAGCAGGAAGAUGUGAACUGAAGACCUGUGGAGAUGCAGCCUUCACCAGAUAGGGGACAGGGAGGUGAAUUAUCUGCAGAGCAGAAUGAGGCAGAGGCCAAGUGGGGUGGGAAUGGGACAGAGAUUGGAGAUCAGCCCUACCACCCAACACGCUGACAGCCUCCAUCCCAUUGCACCGUUUUGCUCACCUCACAACAUAGUCACUGUCUACAGAUACUUGUUUCUGUUUCUAUAACUACAAGAGUGAAUGUAAGCGCUAUGAGGACAAGGACAUGUCUUGCUCAUCAUGGAGGCCAGUUGCCUAGAUUAAUGCUUGCCAUAUUGUGGGUACUCCACAAAUACUGGCUUCAUAAAUGAGUUCUGUUUACUUGUUCAUAAUCAAAUUGGAAACCUGAGAACUUGUGUGCCAUCAUUUCCGAGAUCUUGCUAUUUGUGGUAUUACACAUUUAAUUGGCCAAAUAAUAACUUUAUGUGGUUAAUUUUAAAGCCUGAGACUUUAAAAUGAUGAGGGCCUGCAUUCCAUGGAAUGAGUUGCAUCACUUCAAGAAGGCAGAGCCUCAUGGAUCAUCACCUAGAGGGAUCUGGGAUGAUUUCUCCCAGCCGCCCAGGCAUUAUACUGAUAGCCGUUAAGGGAAGGAAAGGGGGCAGCCAUCUCGUGUUCCUGUUCCCUGUGAGAUCCUAGGACCUAUAAUUGCUUGGUUCCACGUGUGACUGACAUGGAACAUUAAUCAUCCAAAGGACGUUUCCUUAAAAUUACCUUUUCUUCUGAAAUGUUCAAAGGAAUAUAUUGUAUAAGUAGCUUAUUAACAUGAACAUUUUCUACAAUUUAUAGUAAUGAACUAAAAUUCUUCUUAUUAGCCACCAAAUGCUCAUUCAUAAUAAGUCAGUUUGAUCAUAAUGAAUAUUUUUCUCUCAUUGGGUGUUUAAUCUUUGUUAAUAACGGAGCUAAAUGACUUCCUAUCUUAGUUAAAGAGUACUAGGGCUCUGUAUGGUUCAUUUUUGUUUGCUGUCCAUUGACUUAAUUGACCUUCCUGAAUCAAAAAUUUUUCUAUGGGCUGAAAUGCCAUUUAAUAAGCUUAAGUACUCCUUGAAUAUUUAAAAAUUAAAGUAUUUAUGAUGUCCAA